GAACGAGUUCUGAUUAUUGAAAGGUGCUUGCAUCUUGAUUUAAUUUUGAACGAGUGGCGGACGGGUGAGUAACACGUGGGUAACCUGCCCUUAAGUGGGGGAUAACAUUUGGAAACAGAUGCUAAUACCGCAUAAAUCCAAGAACCGCAUGGUUCUUGGCUGAAAGAUGGCGUAAGCUAUCGCUUUUGGAUGGACCCGCGGCGUAUUAGCUAGUUGGUGAGGUAACGGCUCACCAAGGCAAUGAUACGUAGCCGAACUGAGAGGUUGAUCGGCCACAUUGGGACUGAGACACGGCCCAAACUCCUACGGGAGGCAGCAGUAGGGAAUCUUCCACAAUGGACGCAAGUCUGAUGGAGCAACGCCGCGUGAGUGAAGAAGGCUUUCGGGUCGUAAAACUCUGUUGUUGGAGAAGAAUGGUCGGCAGAGUAACUGUUGUCGGCGUGACGGUAUCCAACCAGAAAGCCACGGCUAACUACGUGCCAGCAGCCGCGGUAAUACGUAGGUGGCAAGCGUUAUCCGGAUUUAUUGGGCGUAAAGCGAGCGCAGGCGGUUUUUUAAGUCUGAUGUGAAAGCCCUCGGCUUAACCGAGGAAGUGCAUCGGAAACUGGGAAACUUGAGUGCAGAAGAGGACAGUGGAACUCCAUGUGUAGCGGUGAAAUGCGUAGAUAUAUGGAAGAACACCAGUGGCGAAGGCGGCUGUCUGGUCUGUAACUGACGCUGAGGCUCGAAAGCAUGGGUAGCGAACAGGAUUAGAUACCCUGGUAGUCCAUGCCGUAAACGAUGAAUGCUAGGUGUUGGAGGGUUUCCGCCCUUCAGUGCCGCAGCUAACGCAUUAAGCAUUCCGCCUGGGGAGUACGACCGCAAGGUUGAAACUCAAAGGAAUUGACGGGGGCCCGCACAAGCGGUGGAGCAUGUGGUUUAAUUCGAAGCAACGCGAAGAACCUUACCAGGUCUUGACAUCUUUUGAUCACCUGAGAGAUCAGGUUUCCCCUUCGGGGGCAAAAUGACAGGUGGUGCAUGGUUGUCGUCAGCUCGUGUCGUGAGAUGUUGGGUUAAGUCCCGCAACGAGCGCAACCCUUAUGACUAGUUGCCAGCAUUUAGUUGGGCACUCUAGUAAGACUGCCGGUGACAAACCGGAGGAAGGUGGGGAUGACGUCAAAUCAUCAUGCCCCUUAUGACCUGGGCUACACACGUGCUACAAUGGAUGGUACAACGAGUUGCGAGACCGCGAGGUCAAGCUAAUCUCUUAAAGCCAUUCUCAGUUCGGACUGUAGGCUGCAACUCGCCUACACGAAGUCGGAAUCGCUAGUAAUCGCGGAUCAGCACGCCGCGGUGAAUACGUUCCCGGGCCUUGUACACACCGCCCGUCACACCAUGAGAGUUUGUAACACCCGAAGCCGGUGGCGUAACCCUUUUAGGGAGCGAGCCGUC
rnacentral:rRNA from 2 species